rnacentral:rRNA from 1 species
CAGUCGCCGCGGGAAUACGUAGGUGGUAAGCGUUGUCCGGAAUUAUUGGGCGUAAAGGGCUCGCAGGCGGUUUCUUAAGUCUGAUGUGAAAGCCCCCGGCUCAACCGGGGAGGGUCAUUGGAAACUGGGAAACUUGAGUGCAGAAGAGGAGAGUGGAAUUCCACGUGUAGCGGUGAAAUGCGUAGAGAUGUGGAGGAACACCAGUGGCGAAGGCGACUCUCUGGUCUGUAACUGACGCUGAGGAGCGAAAGCGUGGGGAGCGAACAGGAUUAGAUACCCCUGUAGUCCCUGUCUCUUAUAC